AGUGAACGCUGGCGGUAGGCCUAACACAUGCAAGUCGAACGGCAGCACAGGAGAGCUUGCUCUCUGGGUGGCGAGUGGCGGACGGGUGAGGAAUACAUCGGAAUCUACUCUGUCGUGGGGGAUAACGUAGGGAAACUUACGCUAAUACCGCAUACGACCUACGGGUGAAAGCAGGGGACCUUCGGGCCUUGCGCGAUUGAAUGAGCCGAUGUCGGAUUAGCUAGUUGGUGGGGUAAAGGCCCACCAAGGCGACGAUCCGUAGCUGGUCUGAGAGGAUGAUCAGCCACACUGGAACUGAGACACGGUCCAGACUCCUACGGGAGGCAGCAGUGGGGAAUAUUGGACAAUGGGCGCAGGCCUGAUCCAGCCAUACCGCGUGGGUGAAGAAGGCCUUCGGGUUGUAAAGCCCUUUUGUUGGGAAAGAAAUCCAGCUGGCUAAUACCCGGUUGGGAUGACGGUACCCAAAGAAUAAGCACCGGCUAACUUCGUGCCAGCCGCCGCAGUAA
rnacentral:rRNA from 1 species